CCCCAUAUAGAUGCAUAAUUUAUUAUCUAUCAAUUGCUUGGUCACCCUCUUGUCGUUGUUUCUUUCAUUCCUAUUCUCUCUCUCUCUCCCACACACACACACUAUCUCUCUCUCUCUCCCACACACACACAGACAUCCUUCCAAGAACUCUUUGUGCACAGAAGAAAAGAUGGAGGACGUCUCAGAUGAAGCAAGCAAUGUAGAUCUUUACUCAAUAAUUCAAUUGAAUUCAACUUUAGAUUUUAUUUUAUAGAUUUGUAUAAGCUCUCACAAUUGUUAAUUUUUCACCUUGUUGAUAAUACUUGAGAGAGAUAACUUCUGUGGUUGUGGAAGAAUUAAUGGUCUGCUCUUUCCGGAACCACUCAAUUUUAAUUUUUUGGCACCUCCUCCACCACCACCAUCACAAGUGCCUCAAAGAGUCCAGCAGGAGCAAGUAGGGUCAAACAACGAAGGAUCUUCACAAAGAAAGAAACGGGACCUUAUUGCAUCUAGGAUUGUGGAAUCAAAAAUUGCAACAGGGAAGACCACAUAUUAUGUUUUAUUACUAUAUGAGUGUUUGAAUAGAAGAAAGAUGGAAGCUAAAGAAAUCCAGCUUUUGCAAAGGGUGGUCUUCCCGGUUACUGAAGAAGUCUAUACGGAGAUAGAAAGCAAGUAUCCAUUGUCAAUGAAAGAACAACUCGAGGGGAGAUGGAUUAUUGAGGUUAGAGAACGCACAGGAACCACCAAAACUAAAAAGGUUUGAUGACCAUGAUAUGCAGCCUUCUUCCCUGCAAUUCUAUGUGUGAAAACUCAAUUUUGAUCAAGGGACUUUGGCAUAACAGCAGGAAGAAGAGAGUUAGGAAGGCAGCGGCUCGAUGAUUCAAUCUCCGCUGAGAUUGGUGCUCUGUGUAACGGGUUCUUGUGGUGUUGCCUCUAUGGGUAGUUCUCAUGGAGGUACUUGUCAGGAAGGUGGUGGUGGAGGGGAAGGCAGAAGUAGUGCCGAAAAAUUGAAGUUAAGUGGCUCCGGAAAGAGCACACCAUUAACUUUCCAACCACCAUAAAAGUUAUCUCUCUCAAGUAUAGUUUACAUCUACAAAGUAAAAUUAAAUAUAUUUUAGAUUUUGUAAAAAACUGUAAAAUCGAAUC